rnacentral:rRNA from 1 species
AUUGAACGCUGGCUGCAGGCCUAACCCAUGCAAGUCGAACGAGUGGCGGACGGGUGAGUAAUGUUUGGGAAACUGCCUGAUGGAGGGGGUUAACUACUGGAACCGGUAGCUAAUACCGCAUACCAUCGGAUGUGCCCAGAUGGGUUGAGUUAGUAGGUGGGGAAACGGCUCACCUAGGAGACGAUCCCUAGCUGGUCUGAGAGGAUGACCAGCCACACGGGAACUGAGACACGGGCCAGACUCCUACGGGAGGCAGCAGUGGGGAAUAUUGCACAAUGGGCGCAAGCCUGAUGCAGCCAUGCCGCGUGUAUGAAGAAGGCCUUCGGGUUGUAAAGUACUUUCAGCGGGGAGGCGUUACCCGAAGAAGAAGCACCGGCUAACUCCGUGCCAGCAGCCGCGGUAAUUC